rnacentral:rRNA from 1 species
CCUACGGGAGGCAGCAGUGAGGAAUAUUGGUCAAUGGACGAGAGUCUGAACCAGCCAAGCCGCGUGAAGGAUGACUGCCCUAUGAGUUGUAAACUUCUUUUAUAUGGGAAUAAAAUGUUCCACGUGUGGGUUUUUGUAUGUACCAUAUGAAUAAGGAUCGGCUAACUCCGUGCCAGCAGCCGCGGUAAUACGGAGGAUCCGAGCGUUAUCCGGAUUUAUUGGGUUUAAAGGGAGCGUAGGUGGAUGGAUAAGUUAGUUGUGAAAGUGUGCGGCUCAACCGUAAAAUUGCAGUUGAAACUGGCAGUCUUGAGUGCAGUAGAGGUGGGCGGAAUGCGUGGUGUAGCGGUGAAAUGCUUAGAGAUCACGAAGAACACCGAUUGCGAAGGCAGCUCACUGGACUGCAACUGACACUGAGGCUCGAAAGUGUGGGUAGCAAACAGGAUUAGAUACCCGUGUAGUC